AUGAAGGCUGAGGUGUGCGCCUUUUUUUUUCUGUCUCAAUCGUGUGGACAUCACUGGGAAUGGAGAGAAAUAAGUGACUGGAUGGUCGCUGCUUUUUUUAACUUUCAAACCGGCAUUCCAGGCAAGCCGUGCCCGGGGCCAAUGCAUGUCUUCAGAUCUUCACGGCCAGUUCCUGGGAAGGUGGUGCCACUGGCUUCUCCCUGAAUAACUGGGAGAUGAAACAGGAAGCCCUAUGACACACUUGAUCGAAAACGAUACAGACACCGAAAAUCAGGACUCAGCCCCCUCCAGCACCUCUACCUGCUGCCCACUGCUCACAGCCGGAACAUUGGGGAAGGCUUCUCCCCAGGGCCUGGUUCUGACUGCUGUGGACUUUGAGCCCCUGCCCUUGCUGAUGGUCUCUCAUAUUUUGUUCAUGGUGUAGGCUGGUUGAUUUCCCAUUUCUCUGUCCCAUCUCUAUGCGUCUUAAUCCCUUGUCUUUCAUUAAAAGUAAAACUAAAGGAAA